rnacentral:rRNA from 1 species
GACGAACGCUGGCGGCGUGCUUAACACAUGCAAGUCGAACGGAAAGGCCCUGCUUGCAGGGUGCUCGCGUGGCGAACGCGUGAGUAACACGCGGGUGUACUGCCCCGCACUUCGGGAUAAGCCUUGGAAACUGUGUCUAAUAUCCGAUAGGAGCCCUCCUUCGUCUUGUUGUUGGAUAGUUUUUUCGGUUUGGGAUGAGCUUGCGGCCUAUUUGCUUGCUGGUGGGGUGAUGGGCUACCUAGGCGGCGGUGGGUAGCCGGCCUGGGAGGGUGUACGGCCACAUUGGGACUGAGAUACGGCCCAGAAUCCUAAGGGAGGCAAGAGGGGGGAAUAAUGCGAAAUGGGCGGGAGGCUGGUGCAGCGACGGCGCGUGGGGGAUGAAGGGCUUCGGGUUGGAAAAUCGUUUUGCUAGGGACGAAGCCUUGUGUGACGGUACCUAGAAAAGAAGCACCGGCUAACUACGUG